GACGAACGCUGGCGGCGUGCUUAACACAUGCAAGUCGAACGGAAAGGCCCCCAUCUUGGUGGGGGUGCUCGAGUGGCGAACGGGUGAGUAACACGUGGGUGAUCUGCCCUGUACUUCGGGAUAAGCUUGGGAAACUGGGUCUAAUACCGGAUAGGACCAUGGUUUAGUGUCUCAUGGUGGAAAGAUUAUUGUUUUGGUGCAGGAUGAGCUCGCGGCCUAUCAGCUUGUUGGUGGGGUAAUGGCCUACCAAGGCGUCGACGGGUAGCCGGCCUGAGAGGGUGGACGGCCACAUUGGGACUGAGAUACGGCCCAGACUCCUACGGGAGGCAGCAGUGGGGAAUAUUGCACAAUGGGCGCAAGCCUGAUGCAGCGACGCCGCGUGGGGGAUGACGGCCUUCGGGUGGUAAACUCCUUUCGUUAGGGACGAAGCCGCACUUUUUUUGGGUGUGGUGACGGUACCUUUGUUAAGAAGCACCGGCUAACUACGUG
rnacentral:rRNA from 1 species